GUUUAUCCAAAAAGACAAGGAGAACACGGAUCAGCGGGCGGAGGGGAUUGAGAGCAGGGUGGGCAGUGGGAGCUUCAGCAACCUUCGGCGCUUUAACUCCUCCAACUCCCUCAACCUGGAUCCCGCCUCCUCGCAUGCCGGCUCCUUCCCGCCCAGCAGAGGGCGCUCCAUGCCCGAAAGGAGGCAGCCCAGCCCUGAGCGAGAAGAAGACAAGCUGGGCUUCAUGACUCUGCUGCCAGCUAUACAGGAAGAGGUAGAAGAUGACACCAUCAAAUGUGAAACCUCGAGCUCCACCUCGCUGCGGUCCUUUCGUCUGGACCGGCUCACGGGCUCACUGCGCACAGCCAGCGACGAGGACAUCAGGGACACCCGCAAGUAAGGGGCCUGCUCGCCUUCGUCGUCAGUUUCAGGAGCCCUGUGGCCUCUUGUCUUGAAAGAGUUGCAAGGAUGGUUGUAAAGGAAUCCCACUGGAUUCGGUGCCUGUGUUUAGUGGUGAACUUCAGGUGCUGGGGUAGAAGAGCUCAGUGACCUAGGUGAUUUUAGAAAACAUCUGUCUCUACGUAUUGACUCCUGUGGGAGGACUCUUCCCGCUCUUGCUAGAGGUCUGCCAGGCCUGGGGCGCGUUCCUGAUGGUUACAGCUCCGUGCCUCUCGGCUUUGCUCUUGAGGGUCCCUCCCUUUUCCUCAGGGGUCUCCUCUCAGGAGACUGUCUGUCCCCUCCUGUGACUGACACUGUCCUCAUUCAGACCCCCACCUGCUGAGCUCCCGUCAUGAGCCAGGCAGCCCUCGAUGGAGGGCACAUGUGGUCACCUGCCCAGCAGCCCUGCACAGUGACCGUCGCUCUCCUGCCAUGGCCGAGGACGGUCACCCUGCAGGAGGAGGGGGGAACUGCCCAGAACUGGGGAGCUCGCCUUCUCUGGGAGCGUCGUCACCUGCCAAGCAGAGACCCUGGGGGAGGGUCUGGGCGCCCUCUGCACCAGCUCGUCUGGAGUGAAGCCCUCCUUGGGGCAGAGCUCCAGUCAGAGAAUCUCAGCUUCCUGGGGCCAUUGUUUGUGGCUGGAAGCCUGCAUCGUUCAUGUGGAGUGUGGUUGGUGAAGGAGACUCCACUGUCUGCUGCGAGGUUGAGGCGUGGGUGUGGCUGGGUGGCCAGUUCUAUGAGUAGGUCUUAUGGAGGGGUGUGUGUUUGCACAAGGGUACCAAUUAAAGGUCGUUUUCUCUCCCCGAAGCGCGACAGGCUCUCAGGACGGUCCCGGGGGCAACCCCAGCAACAGCAACAGCAGCCAGGACUCGCUGCAGAAAGCCCCAAAGAAGAAGGGCAUCAAGUCCUCCAUCGGUCGUUGGUUUGGCAAGAAGGAAAAGGGCCGGCCUGGACACACCAGCAGGGAGGCGUUAGGACCAGUGGCAGGCAGGAUGUUUACCGCUAGCGCCACCUGGAAAGCCCCAGGGAAUGCUGACAACUAGGAAAUGCAGAAAAUAAGGGGGCUGCUCCUAAGUUAAACUGGAAGAGCAGCAAGCACAGGAUGAAAAGAGGAAAACACACGAAGAGCGAACAACAGUGCCGACAGAAACAAGCCGGGAUGUGUUCACCCACAAAGUAUCUGUGCCAUUCGGAGGAGGAGCCCGCCAGCCCUUGGAGGGACAGUUGGAACCAGAAUGAAAACCGAGGCCAUGGUCAGCAGUGCCCACCCACACGGCCCGAGUGGCGUGGUGUCACUCACCGGCUUCCUGUGUCCCCAGAGCUGCUGGGGGUGACAUCUGAGUGCUGAGGCCAGGCAGCGUCCCCAGGUGAGCUAAGGCAUCCCUGCUCUCCUUCCAGUGCUGCUGUGGGGCUCUCUGUGGGCGGCCACCCUCAUCGCCUGCUCUGCCACCCGCUGGGGCCCGGCUGUGCCCCUGGGAUCCUUUCAGCCCUUGAACUUGGGUGUUCCCAGCCCUCUGCCACGUCGGACUGGGACGCAACUCAGGACUUGGGCUUGAGAUAUCAAGGAGACCGUGAAUCUGGAAGGACACAGCCCUGGGGCCCUGGAGUGAGCAUGUGAGAAGAGCAGGAGAGCAAAGCCCCCUCGGGGAGGCAGCAGAGCUGGGGAACGUGCCCACACCCACCGCUGCCUCUGGCACAAGUGCCUCUUCUUUGCCUCUCCUUGGCCUGAAACAGACCCCAGCUGCUGCUGCUCCGCAGGUGCUUCCUAAAGAUGCACAUCCUGCAAGAGCUAUUGUCCUGCUGCUCUGGGGCUGCCUAAGUGUGCUCAGGAGCGUCAGACAAGUGGGGCUGCCACCCUGAUGCUGAGGGAGGGGCCUGAUGCUGGACUUAAGGCCUGAUGCUGGAGGAGGGGGCCUGAUGCUGGGGGAGGGCCUGAUGCUGGGGUAAUGUCUAGGAUGGCUGAG
ensembl:lincRNA